rnacentral:rRNA from 1 species
AUGGCGAAUAGAGUGGACUUUCUUUUGCAAAGAUAUUGUGCUGCUUCAGGGCAGCGUAUUAAUAGGGAGAAGUCUUCAAUACUCUUCAGCAAGGGUUGCUCUGAACUGAGGCAGAAGGUAAAACAGAUUCUUGAAGUCCAAAAUGAGAAAUUGACCGAAAAAUACCUUGGCCUCCCAUCUAAUGUGGGAAGAGCCAAGGAAGGGUCUUUCAAGUACCUCAAAGAUAGAAUUUGGAAGCAAGUACAAGGCUAG